AACGAACGCUGGCGGCAUGCCUAACACAUGCAAGUCGAACGAGAUCUUCGGAUCUAGUGGCGCACGGGUGCGUAACGCGUGGGAAUCUGCCCUUGGGUUCGGAAUAACUUCUGGAAACGGAAGCUAAUACCGAAUGAUGACGUAAGUCCAAAGAUUUAUCGCCCAGGGAUGAGCCCGCGUAGGAUUAGCUAGUUGGCGAGGUAAAGGCUCACCAAGGCGACGAUCCUUAGCUGGUCUGAGAGGAUGAUCAGCCACACUGGGACUGAGACACGGCCCAGACUCCUACGGGAGGCAGCAGUGGGGAAUAUUGGACAAUGGGCGAAAGCCUGAUCCAGCAAUGCCGCGUGAGUGAUGAAGGCCUUAGGGUUGUAAAGCUCUUUUACCCGGGAUGAUAAUGACAGUACCGGGAGAAUAAGCUCCGGCUAACUCCGUGCCAGCAGCCGCCGUAAGAC
rnacentral:rRNA from 1 species